AUUUUUCCGCUUCCUGUUUAUGUUAUCUAAAUUAUGUUUAUUAAUUUUAUCUCCUAAAAAUCAUCAAAUAUAUCUUAAUCUAUCUAUAUCUAUAUCUAUAUCUAUAUCUUCUAUACCUAUACAUUAUUCCUCUUAAAUUUGCCACAUGGCAACAUGUCCUUCAUUGUUGAGUGUGGGCUUUAAUUAGAACCACAUGGCAACAUGUCCUUCAUUGUUGAGUGUGGGCUAUAAUUAGAACCAGCUCAAAUCCUCCACAUAUUUUCUUCUUUUUUUGUUUGCAUCGGACUGAAUUUUUCUCUUUCUUUGUCUGAACCGAAUUGGUUAUUGUUAAGUGUGGGCUCUUCCGAAACGGCUCAAGUCUUCUAUAUAUUUUUCUCUUUCUUUACUUGAAAUGAACAUGAUUUCUCUCUUUCUUUAUUUGAAUCGAACCUGGUCAACCUUUUUUUUUUGGGCUUGAACCGAACCGGAUCACACCUCUAUAUUGAGCUGAACUGUUCUUCUUCAUCUUCUUUUAGUUUUCUUUAUCAACAAGAUGAAUCUCACCCUUUAACGUCGUUUCUUUCAUUGCCUUUUUCUCUUCCUUUGUCAUCGUUUUUUAUUUUUUUUUCAAUUAUUUAUCCAUCGCAUCGCACGGGUUACUAUACUAGUAAAAAUUAUGAUUAUUCCAAAAUUUCAUUUUCUUAAUACUAAUUAAGCAAUACUCU
rnacentral:lncRNA from 1 species